GGUUGCCCGUGAAAUGAAUAUUAGUUCUCCCUUAAUUUUACCCCCAAGACUCAAUUACUUGYUCGUAGCAAAUUAAGAGUAAUUUAAAGGAGGUACAGCUCCUUUAAAACAGAACACAAUCUCCUCCAGAGGAUAAGCCAAAGUACUCCCAAACUUGUAGGCCUUUAAGCAGCCACCAACAAAGAAUGCGUCAAAGCUCCUCAUACUAAAAAUAUAAGACUCUACGCGACUCCCUCACCCAUAACGGGCUAACCUAUCAAAUAUAGGAGCAUUAAUGCUAAAAUAAGUAACUAAGGACCCUCCUUCUAAAGCACAAACUUACAUCUUCAUAUUAUUAACAGGCCCACUAAUAGCCCAACCACUACAAGACUGACUAUCUAAUACCCUGUUAGACCAACCCAGGAGUGCUCAACUAGAAAGAUUAAAACCUGUAAAAGGAACUAGGCAAACCCAAGGCCCGACUGUUUACCAAAAACAUAGCCUUCAGCAAAACAGCCAAGUAUUGAAGGUGAUGCCUGCCCAGUGACACUAAGUUUAACGGCCGCGGUAUCCUAACCGUGCAAAGGUAGCGCAAUCAAUUGUCCCAUAAAUCGAGACUUGUAUGAACGGCCAAACGAGGUCUUAACUGUCUCUUGCAGGUAAUCAGUGAAAUUGAUCUCCCCGUGCAAAAGCAGGGAUAAACCCAUAAGACGAGAAGACCCUGUGGAACUUAAAAACCAACAGCCACUCUACGAACUCAAAACCCCAUAGGGCCCACUACCAAUAGACGAUUGGCUCGCAUUUUUCGGUUGGGGCGACCUUGGAGAAAAACGUAUCCUCCAAAAAUAAGACCAUCCAUCCUAACCAAGAUCAACCACUCAAAGUGCUAACAGUAACCAGACCCAGUAUAACUGAUUAAUGAACCAAGCUACCCCAGGGAUAACA
rnacentral:rRNA from 1 species